GAAAAUUUAAUUAAAGUAUAAUAUUGAAAUGUCAUUUCAAAAUUGUUUAUAAUUAAACAAUUUUC
rnacentral:tRNA from 1 species